GACGAACGCUGGCGGCGUGCCUAAUACAUGCAAGUUGAGCGCUGAAGGUUGGUACUUGUACCAACUGGAUGAGCAGCGAACGGGUGAGUAACGCGUGGGGAAUCUGCCUUUGAGCGGGGGACAACAUUUGGAAACGAAUGCUAAUACCGCAUAAAAACUUUAAACACAAGUUUUAAGUUUGAAAGAUGCAAUUGCAUCACUCAAAGAUGAUCCCGCGUUGUAUUAGCUAGUUGGUGAGGUAAAGGCUCACCAAGGCGAUGAUACAUAGCCGACCUGAGAGGGUGAUCGGCCACAUUGGGACUGAGACACGGCCCAAACCCCUACGGGAGGCAGCAGUAGGGGAUCUUCGGGAAUGGCCGAAAGUCUGAACGAGCAACGCCGGGUGAGUGAAGAAGGGUGUCGGAUCGUAAAACUCUGUUGGUAGAGAAGAACGUUGGUGAGAGUGGAAAGCGCAUCAAGUGACGGUAACUACCCAGAAAGGGACGGCUAACUACGUG
rnacentral:rRNA from 1 species